UACGUAGGGGGCAAGCGUUGUCCGGAAUUAUUGGGCGUAAAGCGUGCGCAGGCGGUUGUGCAAGACAGAUGUGAAAUCCCCGGGCUCAACCUGGGAACUGCAUUUGUGACUGCACGGCUGGAGUGCGGCAGAGGGGGAUGGAAUUCCGCGUGUAGCAGUGAAAUGCGUAGAUAUCUGGAGGAACACCGGUGGCGAAGGCGGCGUCCUGGACCAACACUGACACUGAGGAGCGAAAGCCAGGGGAGCAAACGGG
rnacentral:rRNA from 1 species